CGAUUAGGUAGUAGGCGGGGGUAACAGCCCACCUAGCCUACGAUCGGUAGGGGUUCUGCGAGGAAGGUCCCCCACAUUGGAACUGAGACACGGUCCAAACUCCUACGGGAGGCAGCAGUGAGGAAUAUUGGUCAAUGGACGAGAGUCUGAACCAGCCAAGUAGCGUGCAGGAUGACGGCCCUAUGGGUUGUAAACUGCUUUUAUGCGGGAAUAAAGUGAUUCACGUGUAUUUCAUUGCAUGUACCGCAUGAAUAAGGACCGGCUAAUUCCGUGCCAGCAGCCGCGGUAAUACGGAAGGUUCGGGCGUUAUCCGGAUUUAUUGGGUUUAAAGGGAGCGUAGGCUGAAUAUUAAGCGUGUUGUGAAAUGUAGUUGCUCAACAUCUGCACUGCAGCGCGAACUGGUAUUCUUGAGUGUGCGCGUCGUAGACGGAAUUCGGGGUGUAGCGGU
rnacentral:rRNA from 1 species